rnacentral:rRNA from 1 species
GAAAAAGUGAAUAUUAUUGGUUUAAUAGUUAAUUAAUUUAUUUUUUUAAAAUAAUAAUUUUUAGGUGAAAUUUAUGAUUAUUUUUAAAAUAUAUUUAAUGAAGCUAUGAAAUUUAUCUUAAAGACAAGGAUUAGAUACCCUUUUAUUAUAAAUGUUAAUAUGAGCCUGGGUAUUAUUAGUUAUGUUCUUGAAACCCAAAGGAUUUGGCGGUAUUUUAGUCUUUUCAGAGGAAUCUGUUCCAUUAUCGAUAAUCCACGAAGUGAUUAACUUGAUUUUGUUAAUUCAGUUUGUAUACCUCCGUCAUAAGGAUAUCUUUUUAGAGUGAAUUUUCUUUUCAUAUUAAAUAUAAUAUGUCAGGUCAAGGUGCAACUAAUAGUCAAGUGGAAAUGGAUUACAAUAAAUUUAUUUAUAUGGAUUGAAUUAUUUAAAUGUUUAUGAAGGUGGAUUUGAUAGUAAUUAUAUUAGCUUAUCAUUGGUGAUUUUGGCUCUAAAAUAUGCACACAUCGCCCGUCGCUCUCAUUAUUAAAAUGAGAUAAGUCGUAACAUAGUAGAUGUAUCGGAAGAUGUAUCUAGAAAGUA